GACGAACGCUGGCGGCGCGCUUAAUACAUGCAAGUCGAACGAGAAGCCAGAGCUUGCUCUGGUGGAAAGUGGCGAACGGGUGAGUAACACGUGAGAAACCUGCCCCAAAGAUUGGGAUAAGCCUUGGAAACGAGGUCUAAUACCAAAUACCUUCUUUUUAACACAUGUUAAAAAGAAGAAAUGCUCCGGCGCUUUGGGAUGGUCUCGCGAUCUAUCAGCUUGUUGGUGAGGUAACGGCUCACCAAGGCAUCGACGGAUAGCUGGUCUGAGAGGAUGUCCAGCCACAUUGGAACUGAGACACGGUCCAAAACUCCUACGGGAGCAGCAGUAGGGAAUCUUGCACAAUGAGGGAAACCUUGAUGCAGCGACGCCGCGUGCGGGACGAAGGCCCUAGGGUUGUAAACCGCUUUCAGUAGGGACGAAAGUGACGGUACCUACAGAAGAAGCCCCGGCCAACUAUGUGCCAGCAGCCGCGGUAAU
rnacentral:rRNA from 1 species